UACGAAGGGGACUAGCGUUGUUCGGAAUUAUUGGGCGUAAAGAGCUCGUAGGCGGUCUGUCGCGUCUGCUGUGAAAACUCAGGGCUUAACCCUGAGCUUGCAGUGGGUACGGGCAGACUAGAGUGCGGUAGGGGAGACUGGAAUUCCUGGUGUAGCGGUGAAAUGCGCAGAUAUCAGGAGGAACACCGGUGGCGAAGGCGGGUCUCUGGGCCGUAACUGACGCUGAGGAGCGAAAGCAUGGGGAGCGAACAGG
rnacentral:rRNA from 1 species